rnacentral:misc_RNA from 1 species
AUCUGGAUACAGAGCUGUUCAAUCUUGAGUCCUGAGGGAUUUUGUGUCAUAGUUUCAGGUCCAAGGUUGCAUGGUGAGGUGAGGGUGAUAAGCAACAGAUCAUAUGUAAAGAUGACUGAGGCUGGCAUAGCCAAGAAGUAUACAUAAGUGUUGUAAGAGGAACAGUAAUAAAAGAAGUUUCUGUGCCUUUUUUUAUCCAUUUGUUACACAGAGACACACCGUAACCAAUCUAUCUCAUAAUUUUAGGCUUAUGAUGAACAAAUAUAGAGUGGAAUUCUGUUUGGUUAUGGAGGGUUCCAAAAGCAAGUUUGAUCACUCAUAACUAACAGUGACCCCAAAAGAACCACAGUUGUAGUGACUAGGCGGGCGCAGUACCGAGUAGGGCCACUGCAGUUUAACGUAGCAGCCUGGCAGGGGACUACCACUUCAGUUCCCAGUAAUCAGACCAAAGAGAGCCGGAGUAGUUGCACGUGGUAUGCCACCAGAAAUUUGCAGGUAAACUUAAUACAUCACGUGCUUGGUUCUGUUGUGGAUUAAAUCACCUCUGAACAAGCUUUGGAAAUAAUGCUUCCCUACCCCAAAAAAUUGGGGGGGUGGGGGUUUAAAUGGGAUCUCCUGCAUCCGUGCUCUCUACUGUUGAUCUAAUCUCUCCCUGUCUGGCUCUGGGUUGCCGCCCUUGCCCGGUUCCGGUGCUCUUGCCCGGUAGUGCUGCGAGAUUUGUCUGGGUAUCUGCUUGGAAAUUCCAACUAAUUGCUGUUAGGAUCUGGGUCUGUUUUGUUGGGUUGAUUGGAUAAGGCCAGUGUUUUGAGCUCCAGGCCUUGGGCCUUG